AUGUUGUGGCGAAGGCGAACGAAUCUAAUAUCGAAAUCUAUAGUUAUUUUAGUUUAUUUUCCAUGUUCGAUUUUCUUUGUGAUGGUAACCACAACUUUAGCUACCAAAUAACAGCAGCUUAAUGACCAAACAUUGUUGGUGAAUGAAAAAAGUUUCUCUCUAAACUCAAGUUAUUGGUACUUCCGUAAGCAGUUGAUGAUAGUGUUGAUCAAGUGUGAUAUAUACUGUUGUUGCAUUCCCAACAUUAAGCAUGCAGCAAACCUUGCAACAGGCAAACAAAGAUUUAUAGACUGAAUGAGAACUAUCUGGUUUUCUUUCCAAAACUAAAAGGACAGUAACAUGGUGAACUAAAGUUAUUUGUUUGAUAACCCAUUGGUUACCUUAAAUUUCCCUCUUUGACUUUGGGCCCGCUCUUGAUUUGAGAUUAAUCUUGUGCAGUGCAGUCCAUUGUACCUGACGAGAGAUUAGCGACGACUGACUGACUUGCUGUCAUUCAGCAGCAAUACUGCUUACUUGCGUGCCGUCGCUCCGAGGCAUGGGGGAGUUGAGCCUGCUCCAGCUACGCGUCCAGCAUCAUUUGACUACCCAACCGACUUGUACUACCCCUGCUCUCAACACAGCACGGAAUUUUCAUCUUCAGAUUGUUUGACCGGUGUUCGAUGUGUUAUGCCGUUUCCUUGAGGACGACGAGAUGGUUCUAAACUACAGGUUUCUAAAUUUGCAUGACAGACUUUAUAAGAAGUCAUGUCCUUGGCUACCCUUUUCGCUUCCUUAAAUGGGCCCUCUUGAUUUGAGGGUAACUCCUUCGCUGCUUAUCAUGGACUUCAUCCAUUGGUGAAAACUGACGAGAGCUGAAAACUGACGAGAGACUGCCGUAAUUCAAGACUGAUUAGUUGUGUAGUUGGAUAAAUUACAAGUGCAUAUCUGGGCUCCCUUCUUUUCUGUGGC
rnacentral:lncRNA from 1 species